rnacentral:rRNA from 1 species
UACGUAGGGGGCAAGCGUUGUCCGGAAUCAUUGGGCGUAAAGGGCUCGUAGGCGGCCAACUAAGUCGGAUGUGAAAUCCCCAGGCUCAACCUGGGAACUGCAUCCGAUACUGGAUGGCUUGAAUCCGGGAGAGGGAUGCAGAAUUCCAGGUGUAGCGGUGAAAUGCGUAGAUAUCUGGAGGAAUACCGGUGGCGAAGGCGGCAUCCUGGACCGGCAUUGACGCUGAGGAGCGAAAGCUAGGGGAGCAAACGGG